rnacentral:misc_RNA from 1 species
AAAAGGAGAAGUUGGAGCACAGGUACUGAUGCCAUGCAUAUGGUCAAAAGACAGCUUACCUUUUUGCUGAAGACUUGAUAUUUUUCUUGUUUUACUAGAAAAUAAGCUGAAUGCUUGGCUGUUAGCUGCAGUUGCAGUUAUCAAAACUUAGCAAGCUUUUGUUUUUGAAUCAUUCAAUUUUUCUCGACAUGUCAGAAUUGGUAAAUGUUGAACAAAUUUUGUUGUUAAACUCUUGUUGCUAAACUCUUGCCCAUGAUUUAAUGCCUGUCAUUCAGCUUAUUUUCUAGUAAAACAAGA